AGAGUUUGAUCAUGGCUCAGGAUGAACGCUGGCGGCGUGCUUAAGACAUGCAAGUCGAGCGCAGCCUGGCCGCAAGGCCGGGCUGAGUGGCGAAUGGGUGCGUAACACGUAGGUGACCUGCCCGGAAGUGGGGAAUAACAGUCCGAAAGGACUGCUAAUACCGCAUGCGGUGCGCGGGGUUUGAGACCCGCGUUCCAAAGGCACUCGCAAGGGUGCCGCUUUCGGAGGGGCCUGCGGCCCAUCAGCUAGUUGGUAGGGUAACGGCCUACCAAGGCAACGACGGGUAGGGGACCUGAGAGGGUGACCCCCCACACUGGCACUGACACACGGGCCAGACUCCUACGGGAGGCAGCAGUCGGGAAUAUUGCCCAAUGGACGAAAGUCUGAGGCAGCAACGCCGCGUGCGCGAUGAAGGCCUUCGGGUCGUAAAGCGCUUUUCGGGUGGAUGAGAGCGGACAGUACACCCGGAAUCAGGUACGGCUAACUACGUGCCAGCAGCCGCGGUAAAACGUAGGUACCGAGCGUUAUCCGGAUUUACUGGGCGUAAAGCGCGUUCAGGCGGUUUGGCAAGUCGGGCAUGAAAUCUCUCGGCUCAACCGGGAGAGGUUGUCCGAUACUGCCGGACUAGAGGGCAGCAGAGGGUGGUGGAAUUCCGGGUGUAGUGGUGAAAUGCGUAGAGAUCCGGAGGAACACCAGUGGCGAAAGCGGCCACCUGGACUGCACCUGACGCUCAAACGCGAAAGCUAGGGGAGCGAACGGGAUUAGAAACCCCGGUAGUCCUAGCUAUAAACGAUGUUGACUAGGUGUCGGCGGUCUAAACCCCGCCGGUGCCGUAGCAAACGCGAUAAGUCAACCGCCUGGGGACUACGGCCGCAAGGUUAAAACUCAAAGGAAUUGACGG
rnacentral:rRNA from 1 species